rnacentral:lncRNA from 1 species
ACGAAACUUUGUACAAAGGAUUAUUACAAGUUAUUGUUCCUUACGUAAAUUAUCAAUUUGAAACAUCUAACGUGUAGUUCGGUUGUCUUUCUGUUCUAUAUGAAGGGGGUGUUAUACUAUAUAGUUAUCAAAGGUACCAAGAUUAUAAUUUAUUACGCAGACGCGCGUUUCGUCUACAUAAGACUCAUCAGCUCAUAUCAAAAUAGGUAUAAUGCCAAACAAAUACAAAUUGUGUUAACACAUAUAUUGCGUCAAUAUAUCAAACAUGAAUGUUUAAUUAGUUUUAGUCUUUCAUCUGUAAUACAAACACAAAUAACGGG